rnacentral:rRNA from 1 species
AACGAACGCUGGCGGCAGGCUUAACACAUGCAAGUCGAACGCAUCCUUCGGGGUGAGUGGCAGACGGGUGAGUAACGCGUGGGAACGUGCCCUUCAGUUCGGGAUAACCCAGGGAAACUUGGGCUAAUACCGGAUACGUGCGAGAGCAGAAAGAUUUAUCGCUGAAGGAUCGGCCCGCGUCUGAUUAGCUAGUUGGUGGGGUAAUGGCCCACCAAGGGGGCGAUCAGUAGCUGGUCUGAGAGGAUGAUCAGCCACAUUGGGACUGAGACACGGCCCAAACUCCUACGGGAGGCAGCAGUGGGGAAUAUUGGACAAUGGGCGCAUGCCUGAUCCAGCCAUGCCGCGUGAGUGAUGAAGGCCUUAGGGUUGUAAAGCUCUUUCGUCCGGGACGAUAAUGACGGUACCGGAAGAAGAAGCCCCGGCUAACUUCGUGCCAGCAGCCGCAGUAA